rnacentral:rRNA from 1 species
GGAUUAGAUACCCUGGUAGUCCACGCCGUAAACGAUGCACACUAGUUCGUGGGAUCUCUCAUGAUUUCGCGGACGAAGGUAAACUAGUUAGUGUGCCGCCUGGGGAGUACGGUCGCAAGGCUAAAACUCAAAGGAAUUGACGGGGGCUCACACAAGCGGUGGAGCAUGUUGCUUAAUUCGAGGCAACGCGAAGAACCUUACCUGGGCUUGACAUGUAUGGAUUAGCUCUUGGAAACAAGAGUGACGCCCUUGGGUGGAACAUACACAGGUGCUGCAUGGCUGUCGUCAGCUCGUGCCG